GUUUGAUCCUGGCUCAGGGCGAAUGCUAGCGGUGCGCCUAACACAUGCAAGUCGAGCGAAAAAUCUUUCUAGCUUGCUAGGAGGAUGGAAAGCGGCGAACGGGUGAGUAACACGUUGAUAUUUGCCCCCAGGUCAGGGAUAGUCCACUGAAAAGUGGUUUAAUACCGGAUAGUCUCUUCGGAGUAAAGAUUUAUCGCCUGGGGAGAAGUCUGCGUUCUAUCAGCUAGUUGGUGAGGUAAUAGCUCACCAAGGCUAUGACGGAUAGUUGAUCUGAGAGGAUGAUCAGCCACAAUGGAACUGAGACUCGGUCCAUACUCCUACGGGAGGCAGCAGUGAGGAAUCUUCCACAAUGGACGAAAGUCUGAUGGAGCGACACCGCGUGAAGGAUGAAGGCCUAACGGUUGUAAACUUCUUUUCUGGAGGAGCAUAAUGAGAGUACUUCAGGAAUAAGGGGCGGCUAAUCACGUGCCAGCAGCCGCGGUAAUACGUGAGCCCCAAGCAUUGCCCGGAAUCACUGGGUGUAAAGGGUUCGUAGGCGGGGAUACAAGUUGGAUAUGAAAGACCGAGGCUCAACCUCGUGUUGGUAUUCAAAACUGUAUUCCUAGAAUUAGGGAGAGGUUAGCGGAAUUCUGAGUGUAGGGGUGCAAUCCGUAGAUACUCAGAGGAACACCAAAAGCGAAGGCAGCUAACUGGAACUAUAUUGACGCUGAGGAACGAAAGCGUGGGUAGCGAAAAGGAUUAGAUACCCUUGUAGUCCACGCCCUAAACGAUGAUAACUAAGUGUUGCACAUUGGUGCAGUGCUGAAGCUAACGCGUUAAGUUAUCCACCUGAGGAGUACGGUCGCAAGAUUAAAACUCAAAGGAAUAGACGGGGACCCACACAAGCAGUGGAUCACGUGGUUUAAUUCGACAAUAAACGGGGAACCUUACCCAGACUUGACAUCCUAAGAAUCUUCUAGAGACAGAAGAGUGCCUUUAUUGGAACUUAGUGACAGGUGCUGCAUGGUUGUCGUCAGCUCGUGCCUUGAGGUGUUCGGUUAAGUCCGUUAACGAGCGUAACCCAUGUCUUUAGUUAUUAUGUCUAAAGAGACUGCCUUGGUUAACAAGGAGGAAGGUGUGGAUGACGUCAAAUCAGCAUGGCUUUUACGUCUGGGGCUACACACAUGAUACAAUGGUUUAUACAAAGGGCAGCGAUACCGUAAGGUGGAGCGAAUCCCAUAGAGUAAAUCUAAGUCCGGAUUGAGGUCUGCAACUCUACCUCAUGAAGUUGGAAUUGCUAGUAAUCGUGAAUCAGAUAUGUCACGGUGAAUGUGUUCCUGGGUCUUGUACUCACCGCCCGUCAUGGCAUGGAAGGCAGUAAUAUUGGAAGCUCCCGAAGUAAUAUCGGGGUCCAUAGUAGGACUGCUGACUGGGCUAAAGUCGUAACAAGGUAGCCG
rnacentral:rRNA from 1 species